rnacentral:rRNA from 1 species
UAGGGAAUAUUGCGCAAUGGGCGAAAGCCUGACGCAGCAACACCGCGUGUAGGAUGAAGGUUUUCGGAUCGUAAACUACUGUCGGCAGGGAAUAUAAUGACUGUACCUGCAAAGGAAGCAUCGGCUAACUACGUGCCAGCAGCCGCGGUAAUACGUAGGAUGCAAGCGUUGUCCGGAAUUAUUGGGCGUAAAGAGUUCGUAGGUGGUUAUCUAAGUCUGGUGUUAAAGCCCGGAGCUCAACUCCGGCAUGGCAUUGGAAACUGGAUGGCUAGAGUGUGGAAGAGGUAACUGGAAUUCCUGGUGUAGCGGUGAAAUGCGCAGAUAUCAGGAGGAACACCCGUGGCGAAAGCGAGUUACUGGUCCACUACUGACGCUGAGGAACGAAAGCCAGGGUAGCAAA